GUAACAAGGUUUCCGUAGGUGAACCUGCGGAAGGAUCAUUACUGAUUUGCUUAAUUGCACCACAUGUGUUUUUCUUUGAAACAAACUUGCUUUGGCGGUGGGCCCAGCCUGCCGCCAGAGGUCUAAACUUACAACCAAUUUUUUAUCAACUUGUCACACCAGAUUAUUACUAAUAGUCAAAACUUUCAACAACGGAUCUCUUGGUUCUCGCAUCGAUGAAGAACGCAGCGAAAUGCGAUACGUAAUAUGAAUUGCAGAUAUUCGUGAAUCAUCGAAUCUUUGAACGCACAUUGCGCCCUCUGGUAUUCCGGAGGGCAUGCCUGUUUGAGCGUCGUUUCUCCCUCAAACCGCUGGGUUUGGUGUUGAGCAAUACGACUUGGGUUUGCUUGAAAGACGGUAGUGGUAAGGCGGGAUCGCUUUGACAAUGGCUUAGGUCUAACCAAAAACAUUGCUUGCGGCGGUAACGUCCACCACGUAUAUCUUCAAACUUUGACCUCAAAUCAGGUAGGACUACCCGCUGAACCUAAGCAUAUCA
rnacentral:misc_RNA from 1 species